AAAUGCGUAAUUAAAGAGAGGAAAAAGAAGGAAAAGGAGAAAACACUCAACACAACAAAAAAAAAAGUUUCUGGCUUUUUUUUUCAUUUUUUUUUUUU
rnacentral:ribozyme from 1 species